rfam:Stegodyphus mimosarum contig127952, whole genome shotgun sequence.
AGCUUUGCGCAGAGGCAGUGUCAUAGCCAGUGAUUUACUACUGAGGCGUGACUAUUGCUAGUUGAAAACGCUUCCAGUCCCCUUUCAGAUGCACAUCUACGGGCGGAAAUCGCUCUAUGGAAUCACA